GGUGUAGAAGGACAGACGAGCUUGUUGAUGGCUUGGUUUUCAUGUUCAUUUGGCUAGGUUUUGAAAGCCAUUGGAGUAGACCCCAUCAAGGGGUUUAUAGAUUUUCAGGUGGUGGAAAAUGCAAAAAUCUAGGCAGAAACGGUGGCAGCCAUGAUACGAUUGGAUAUGAGUGAAUAUAUGGAGCGGCAAAGAAAGUAGUUGGCAAGAUUAAAGUGGAAGGUUAGUUUUCAAUGGUAUAAACCGAAUUUCAUGAUGUUUGGUGCAACCAACUGCACCCUAUGCUACACUUAUUUUCAUUGGUACAGAAAUUGUGAGUAAUAGUCUAUCUUAAAUCAGAUGUUAAAAAGUCCUAAGCCAUCUUAGAACAUCUCAGGUUGUGUUUAUGUUUGUAUGAGUCCUAACUUUUGAGUUUUGGAACAUCUAAAGUUUGAAAUUCUCAUUAUAGGGUAUU